rnacentral:rRNA from 1 species
GUCUACAGCCAUACCACCCUGAAUGAGCCCUAUCUCAUCUGAUCUCGAAGGCUAGUCAGGUUCGGGCCUGGUUAGUACUUAAAUGGGAGAACAUCUAUUCAUGUUAGUAAACA